AGUCAUUCGGGUCUUCCGGUGCUCCCAGAUCUCUUUCCCAUGCAGCGAUAUAGGUUAGAUCAGGGGUUCUCAACGUUAGUCCUCAGGACUAAGGUGUUUUUUUCCCUUUUUCUAAACACCUGAGACACACCCAGGUAAUCCCCAAAUCCUGGACUGGUAGGGGGUCCUGAGGACUGGGUUGAGAACCCCUGGGUUAGAUUGACUAGGGAAGUGUGG